AUCACUUCUCGGCCUUUUGGCUAAGAUCAAGUGUAGUAUCUGUUCUUAUCAGUUUAAAUUAUAGCCAGUACAUGUUUUGAUCAUGAGAAAAUGAACCUAGAAAUUAAU
ensembl:snRNA U2 U2 spliceosomal RNA